rnacentral:rRNA from 1 species
AACGUAGGAGACAAACGUUAUCCGGAGUUACUGGGCGUAAAGGGCGUGUAGGCGGUUGCGUAAGUCUGGCGUGAAAUAUCUCGGCUUAACCGAGGCAGGUCGUCGGAUACUGCGUAACUGGAGGACGGUAGAGGCGUGUGGAAUUCCGGGUGUAGUGGUGAAAUGCGUAGAGAUCCGGAGGAACACCAGUGGCGAAGGCGACACGCUGGGCCGUACCUGACACUGAUGCGCGACAGCAUGGGGAGCAAACAGG